AACGUAGGACGCAAGCGUUAUCCGGAGUUACUGGGCGUAAAGCGCGGGCAGGCGGUCUUGCCAGUCUGAUGUGAAAUCUCCUCGCUCAACGGGGAGCAGCCAUUGGAAACUACAAGACUGGAGUCUGGCAGAGGUAGGCGGAAUUCCGGGUGGAGUGGUGAAAUGCGUAGAGAUCCGGAGGAACACCUGCGGCGAAGGCGGGUUGCUGGGCUGAUACUGACGCUGAGGCGCGAAAGCCAGGGGAGCGAACGGG
rnacentral:rRNA from 1 species